rnacentral:rRNA from 1 species
UACGUAGGGGGCAAGCGUUGUCCGGAUUUAUUGGGCGUAAAGGGCGCGUAGGCGGCCUGGCAAGUGGAAGGUGAAAUCCCUCGGCUUAACCGAGGAACUGCCUUCCAAACUGCUUGGCUUGAGUCCGGGAGAGGUGAGUGGAAUUCCCAGUGUAGCGGUGAAAUGCGUAGAUAUUGGGAGGAACACCAGUGGCGAAGGCGGCUCACUGGACCGGAACUGACGCUGAUGCGCGAAAGCGUGGGGAGCAAACGGG